AUUGAACGCUGGCGGCAGGCCUAACACAUGCAAGUCGAGCGAGCGGCGGACGGGUGAGUAAUGUCUGGGAAACUGCCUGAUGGAGGGGGAUAACUACUGGAAACGGUAGCUAAUACCGCAUACCAUCAGAUGUGCCCAUAUGGGAUUAGCUAGUAGGUGGGGUAAUGACUCACCAAGGCGACGAUCCCUAGCUGGUCUGAGAGGAUGACCAGCCAAACGGGAACUGAGACACGGUCCAGACUCCUACGGGAGGAAGCAGUGGGGAAAAUUGCACAAUGGGCGCAAGCCUGAUGCAGCCAGGCCGCGUGUAUGAAGAAGGCCGUCGGGUUGUAAAGUACUUGCAGCGAGGAGGCGUUACCCGCAGAAGAAGCACCGGCUAACUCCGUGCCAGCAGCCGCGGUAAUUC
rnacentral:rRNA from 1 species